GGGAACGUGGUUCAGUGGUAGAGUACUUGCCUUGCAUGCAUGAGGCCCUGGGUUCAAUUCCUCAGCACCA
rnacentral:tRNA from 1 species